UACGUAGGGUGCAAGCGUUGUCCGGAUUUAUUGGGCGUAAAGAGCUCGUAGGCGGUCUGUUGCGUCGGAUGUGAAAACCCAGGGCUCAACCCUGGGCCUGCAUUCGAUACGGGCAGACUAGAGUAUGGCAGGGGAGACUGGAAUUCCUGGUGUAGCGGUGAAAUGCGCAGAUAUCAGGAGGAACACCGGUGGCGAAGGCGGGUCUCUGGGCCGAUAUUGACGCUGAGGAGCGAAAGCGUGGGGAGCGAACAGG
rnacentral:rRNA from 1 species